rnacentral:tRNA from 1 species
GCGUCCUUAGCUCAGCUCGAAAGAGUCCCGGCGUCCAAACCGGCCGUGCGGAGGUUUGAGUCCUUAAGGACGCGCCA